GCAAGUUGCUUUGGCAGAUAUCAUUCUCAUUAUAAAACAGACUUGGUUCCAGAAGAAGAUGUAAAGAAAUUAAGAACGACAAUUAGAUCCAUAAAUGGACUAGGACAAAUCUUAGAAACACAAAGAUCAAGGCUCAGCAGCUGAUAGACUCAGCAACAGGCAGCCAGGAGCUCUGAGGCUCACAGCUGGCAGUCUAGUUCCACUCAGUCUCUACUUGAGAAAUUCUUUCUUUGGAAGUACAGCAGAGGCCUUAGAGUUGAUCUCUCUAAUGUAUUAGAUCUUCAUGCCUUUGAUAGUCUCUCUGGAAUAAGUUUGCAGAAAAAACUUCAGCAUGUGCCAGGAACACAACCUCACCUUGAUCAGAGUAUUGUUACAAUCACAUUUGAAGUACCAGGAAAUGCAAAGGAAGAACAUCUUAAUAUGUUUAUUCAGAAUCUCCUGUGGGAAAAGAAUGUGAGAAACAAGGACAAUCACUGCAUGGAGGUCAUAAGGCUGAAGGGAUUGGUGUCAAUCAAAGACAAAUCACAACAAAUGAUUGUCCAGGGUGUCCAUGAGCUCUAUGAUCUGGAGGAGACUCCAGUGAGCUGGAAGGAUGACACUGAGAGAACAAAUCGAUUGGUCCUCCUUGGCAGAAAUUUAGAUAAGGAUAUCCUUAAACAGCUGUUUAUAGCUACUGUGACAGAAACAGAAAAGCAGUGGACAACACGUUCCAAAGAAGAUCAAGUUUGUACAUAACACUAGAGGCAUUUCUUAUCAAAAGGAUUGGAUAAUAAAAAUAAGUUUC
rnacentral:sRNA from 1 species